rnacentral:snRNA from 1 species
AGAUGACAGGACAAUGUGCUGCAACAUCUACCACAACACUGAUUACUGGGGUUGAUUUGGCUGAUGUGCCUGGGUAGGCAAGUGUCCCUUGACCCCUCAGCAUUCCACAAGUACCUGCUUAAACUGCACACUGUGUUGAAGAGGACAACCUCCCCCAGUAGAGAAGAACUGUUCCUCAAUCAAGGGUAUACGAGUGGCUUUACUCCUCUACUCCUAAGGUUCCAGCCUCACAGCCAGAUAAACUGGGUUAUGUAACCACAAAUUCUGUUCAUACAGUUAGAAGUGCAAAUUAUUAGUCACCAUGGUUUGUCAUUUUUU